CAGUCGAACGGCAGCACGGGCUUCGGCCUGGUGGCGAGUGGCGAACGGGUGAGUAAUACAUCGGAACGUACCCAGAAGUGGGGGAUAACGCAGCGAAAGUUGCGCUAAUACCGCAUACGUUCUACGGAAGAAAGUGGGGGAUCUUCGGACCUCAUGCUUUUGGAGCGGCCGAUGUCUGAUUAGCUAGUUGGUGGGGUAAAGGCCUACCAAGGCGACGAUCAGUAGCUGGUCUGAGAGGACGACCAGCCACACUGGAACUGAGACACGGUCCAGACUCCUACGGGAGGCAGCAGUGGGGAAUUUUGGACAAUGGGCGCAAGCCUGAUCCAGCAAUGCCGCGUGAGUGAAGAAGGCCUUCGGGUUGUAAAGCUCUUUUGUCAGGGAAGAAACGGUUCCGGCUAAUAUCCGGGGCUAAUGACGGUACCUGAAGAAUAAGCACCGGCUAACUACGUGCCAGCAGCCGCGGUAAUACGUAGGGUGCAAGCGUUAAUCGGAAUUACUGGGCGUAAAGCGUGCGCAGGCGGUUUUGUAAGUCUGUCGUGAAAGCCCCGGGCUCAACCUGGGAAUUGCGAUGGAGACUGCAAGGCUUGAAUCUGGCAGAGGGGGGUAGAAUUCCACGUGUAGCAGUGAAAUGCGUAGAGAUGUGGAGGAACACCGAUGGCGAAGGCAGCCCCCUGGGUCAAGAUUGACGCUCAUGCACGAAAGCGUGGGGAGCAAACAGGAUUAGAUACCCUGGUAGUCCACGCCCUAAACGAUGUCUACUAGUUGUC
rnacentral:rRNA from 1 species